UAUCUUUACAUUCAUCAUCAGAUACACAUUUCCUCUUAAAUGAAUACAACUUUAUCUACUAUUGUAGUUAUUUUUGUUUUAAGUAACUUUUCUCAAAAUAUCCAGAAAUUUCGCAAGUUGUAUGCUCAAACAUGAUACGUCAUCGAUUUCUUUUGUUAAUUUUCGUCAAGAUCGCAAGGUGGCGGUUAAAACCGGUAUUUUUGAACUAGCCACUUCGCUGUCUGUCGAGUGGAUCGAGAUAGGGUUUAAAUUGUUGGCAAUCGUAGAGUCGCACCGUUUCUAGCGGGACUUGUUGACGCCCAGCAGCUGACAGUCACGGUCGCGACGAUGGCCACGUGCAACGCGACUCGGCGUGACGCACAUGUCCGCUCAGUACACAGUAUGCCUUAGCUCGCGAAGUAUCAGUUAUACGUCUUGCCGUAAGAUUCUCCUCGGACGUUUCUCGCAAGAGCGAAACUCUUUCUCCAAAUCUCUCAUCUUUCAGCGACAAAUAAUCAACAGUGAUCAACGAUGAAAUAGUGAAGCAACACGAUGUGCCAAAGUAACACAUGUAACUGUAAAAGGUUUACGUGUCUAACAUCAGUGUAGAAAAGAAAAAGACAUAUCAUCUCUCGGCUGAAUAUGGAAUUGGAAGAUAUGCGCUUCGAAACGCACGCGAUGGGUGGGUGAGAGAGAAGAAGGGUUGAAGGUUGGUGGCUCUAAUUGGAUUAAAAUUUCAUCGAUGGGUGCACCUUUGCAAGAACCCUUUUACGUUGAGACACUGGAUGCUGGGUUUUCAUCAUAAAUCGCGGUAUAAUUAUCCUUAAAUGAUCAUGAAAUAGCAGGAUAUAGGAAGGACGAAACGUGCGCGAUAUGAGGAGAAAGGAUGAUCGACAGGUUGAGCUUUUAUAGUGAAAAGUCGACACGAAAGAUGAAAUAUGAUGCAUAUCAUGUCGUGAGGGACAAGGAAUAUUUAUGAUAAAGGACGUCAUAUUCGACAUUAAUAAUGAGCGAGAGGUUGGCGCGAAAUCAGAGUAUAAUUCGCGAUUACUCAACGUGAAAUUCAAAUGAAUGACUCUCGCAAAGUUUCCUCUGACGUUGAAGGUUGAAUGGCAAAAAAUUGGAACGAAGUCGGCAAGAAAUAUUCGUGGAAUAUUUGACCAGAAAUUCGAACAGCCUUCGUAAGACUCAAGAUAGUUUCAACUGAAGUUUUGAAGCUGAUGAUAUAAAAAGAAAAGAGGGGACUAAUCAUAAGAAUAAUAAAUCGACAAAUAAAUUGCAUAGGAUUUUUAUAAAGUGUCGAAUAUAUCUCGAAA